GACCUCCUGUACCAGAUUGCAGACAUUCCUUUCUUGAGCCAGCACAAGGACAAAAUCAUUGUAAGACAUAUCAUUCCCUUUUUUGUUUUAAACCUUUUAGGUGUCAUGGUGGAUGUGGCCUGAAAAAUACCAACAUUUUUAUGUAGGAUAUAAUCGAAAGGGCAGAGAAACAACCCAACCUCACACUUGGUAUCCUCAUCUCCAUUGUAAUUGUGAUAUUCACUGUUAUCCUUAAGAUAAUUUUUGGUGGGAAGAAGCCAGCA
rnacentral:misc_RNA from 1 species